rnacentral:misc_RNA from 1 species
UGGCUCUCGCAUCGAUGAAGAACGCAGCGAAAUGCGAUAAGUAAUGUGAAUUGCAGAAUUCAGUGAAUCAUCGAAUCUUUGAACGCACCUUGCGCUCCUUGGUAUUCCGAGGAGCAUGCCUGUUUGAGUGUCAUGAAAUUCUCAACCUUUCUGGCUUUUUGAAAGCUAGUUUGGCUUGGAGCUUGGAGGUUGCUGGUUCUAAUAAAUCAGCUCUUCUUAAAUAUAUUAGCAGUCCUUUGCUGACGAUCAUUGAUAUGAUAAUUAUCUAUAUCACUGGUCAUUAGUUUCCCUUGUGGAGAGGCUCUGCUUCUAACUGUCUUUUGAAGACAAUUUUGAUACCUUUGACCUCAAAUCAGGUAGGACUACCCGCUGA